GAUGAACGCUGGCGGCGUGCCUAAUACAUGCAAGUCGAGCGAACAGACGAGGAGCUUGCUCCUCUGACGUUAGCGGCGGACGGGUGAGUAACACGUGGAUAACCUACCUAUAAGACUGGGAUAACUUCGGGAAACCGGAGCUAAUACCGGAUAAUAUAUUGAACCGCAUGGUUCAAUAGUGAAAGACGGUUUUGCUGGCACUUAUAGAUGGUUCCGCGCCGCAUUAGCUAGUUGGUAAGGUAACGGCUUACCAAGGCAACGAUGCGUAGCCGACCUGAGAGGGUGAUCGGCCACACUGGAACUGAGACACGGUCCAGACUCCUACGGGAGGCAGCAGUAGGGAAUCUUCCGCAAUGGGCGAAAGCCUGACGGAGCAACGCCGCGUGAGUGAUGAAGGUCUUCGGAUCGUAAAACUCUGUUAUUAGGGAAGAACAGAUGUGUAAGUAACUAUGCACGUCUUGACGGUACCUAAUCAGAAAGCCACGGCUAACUACGUG
rnacentral:rRNA from 1 species